rnacentral:rRNA from 1 species
AGAGUUUAAUCCUUUUAUGGGAUGAACGCUGGCGGCGUGCCUAACACAUGCAAGUCGAGCGAUUCUCUUCGGAGAAGAGCGGCGGACGGGUGAGUAACGCGUGGGUAACCUGCCCUGUACACACGGAUAACAUACCGAAAGGUAUGCUAAUACGGGAUAAUAUAUAAGAGUCGCAUGACUUUUAUAUCAAAGAUUUUUCGGUACAGGAUGGACCCGCGUCUGAUUAGCUUGUUGGCGGGGUAACGGCCCACCAAGGCGACGAUCAGUAGCCGACCUGAGAGGGUGAUCGGCCACAUUGGAACUGAGACACGGUCCAAACUCCUACGGGAGGCAGCAGUGGGGAAUAUUGCACAAUGGGCGCAAGCCUGAUGCAGCAACGCCGCGUGAGCGAUGAAGGCUUUCGGGUCGUAAAGCUCUGUCCUCAAGGAAGAUAAUGACGGUACUUGAGGAGGAAGCCCCGGCUAACUACGUGCCAGCAGCCGCGGUAAUACGUAGGGGGCUAGCGUUAUCCGGAUUUAUUGGGCGUAAAGCGAGCGCAGGCGGUUUUUUAAGUCUGAUGUGAAAGCCUUCGGCUCAACCGAAGAAGUGCAUCGGAAACUGGGAAACUUGAGUGCAGAAGAGGACAGUGGAACUCCAUGUGUAGCGGUGAAAUGCGUAGAUAUAUGGAAGAACACCAGUGGCGAAGGCGGCUGUCUGGUCUGUAACUGACGCUGAGGCUCGAAAGCAUGGGUAGCAAACAGGAUUAGAUACCCUGGUAGUCCAUGCCGUAAACGAUGAGUGCUAGGUGUUGGAGGGUUUCCGCCCUUCAGUGCCGCAGCUAACGCAUUAAGCACUCCGCCUGGG